rnacentral:lncRNA from 1 species
CAAAAGCUGGAGAAGAUAGGUUUGUUGUCUGUAAACUGAGAGAAAAGGGAACACUAUCGUCUGCUGCCAUCGCUGCAAGAGACAUCACUCAGCUGAUCAAGCAAGCUGAAGCAAUACAGCUGGCCCCUUGCAGAGGAGACGCUGAGGGAUGCAAAGCUGGCUUGGGCGAACGGAGAUCUCAGGGUCACGUACAGCCCACAGGGGAUUCACUCUGUGUCAGUGUCUCCUGCAGCAGCACAGGCUAUCGAUGCACGUCACACGUCUGCCCUUCAUCGCCAGCAACCCCUGGGAAAGACUUUGAGACAAGGUAAUUUUGUAGUGUGACUACAUCCUGAGAAAGAAGAGACAGAAAGGGAAAGGCAGACAGCAGACAGCCAGGCGGUCUCUAGCAUGCUGAGAUGAGAUGGAGGAGCAGAGGUUCCAGACAUAUUCAGUGAGUUCCGUGAAGAAUUCAGCCAGGCUAAAGGACAGUGUAUUAAUGCUCUGAAUGGGGGAGACCUGCAGGUGAUCUCAGCUUCUAACAGAAUAAGAAGGUUACAAAUCCAAACUGCCCAGCUGACUCAAGCUAGGAGCCUCCAAUUUAUCCACGGGCUUCUUCUGGCACAGAACCCACACGUCGUGCAAAGGACAGCUCCUCCAGAGAACAUACAUUUUGUUUACGAGGCAAGCCAUUUACGAAUGCCAAACCCUGCAAAUUCUAGCUGGAAGGAUACCAGCAAAUAUCUCCACUGCAGAGUUUACCCACUGCCCAUCAGCUCUGCCCAUGCUGCACACACGCCCUCCGCUCAUGCUCUCAUAGCCAUGCCCACGCUGUGUGCUGGGACUUGGCAGUGCGUAC